rnacentral:rRNA from 1 species
ACGCUGGCGGCAGGCCUAACACAUGCAAGUCGAGCGGUAGAGAGAAGCUUGCUUCUCUUGAGAGCGGCGGACGGGUGAGUAAUGCCUAGGAAUCUGCCUGGUAGUGGGGGAUAACGUUCGGAAACGGACGCUAAUACCGCAUACGUCCUACGGGAGAAAGCAGGGGACCUUCGGGCCUUGCGCUAUCAGAUGAGCCUAGGUCGGAUUAGCUAGUUGGUGAGGUAAUGGCUCACCAAGGCGACGAUCCGUAACUGGUCUGAGAGGAUGAUCAGUCACACUGGAACUGAGACACGGUCCAGACUCCUACGGGAGGCAGCAGUGGGGAAUAUUGGACAAUGGGCGAAAGCCUGAUCCAGCCAUGCCGCGUGUGUGAAGAAGGUCUUCGGAUUGUAAAGCACUUUAAGUUGGGAGGAAGGGUUGUAGAUUAAUACUCUGCAAUUUUGACGUUACCGUCAGAAUAAGCACCGGCUAACUCUGUGCCAGCAGCCGCGGUAAUACAGAGGGUGCAAGCGUUAAUCGGAAUUACUGGGCGUAAAGCGCGCGUAGGUGGUUUGUUAAGUUGGAUGUGAAAUCCCCGGGCUCAACCUGGGAACUGCAUUCAAAACUGACUGACUAGAGUAUGGUAGAGGGUGGUGGAAUUUCCUGUGUAGCGGUGAAAUGCGUAGAUAUAGGAAGGAACACCAGUGGCGGAGGCGACCACCUGGACUAAUACUGACACUGAGGUGCGAAAGCGUGGGGAGCAAAC